UACAGAGACCUCAAGCGUUAUCCGGAAUCAUUGGGCGUAAAGCGUACCGAUAGGUGGUUGUAUCAGUCAGAAGUGAAAUCUCCGAGCUCAACUCGGAAUCUGUCUUUUGAAACUAUACAACUAGAGGGGCAAAGAGGAAGCUGGAACGAACGGUGUAGUAGUGAAAUGCGUUGAUAUCGUUCGGAACACCAAUAGCGAAGGCAGGCUUCUGGGUGCCACCUGACACUGCUAGGACGAAAGCGUGGGGAGCGAAUGGG
rnacentral:rRNA from 1 species